rnacentral:rRNA from 1 species
AGCGAACGCUGGCGGCAGGCCUAACACAUGCAAGUCGAACGAACUCUUCGGAGUUAGUGGCGGACGGGUGAGUAACACGUGGUAACGUGCCUUUAGGUUCGGAAUAACUCAGGUAAACUUGUGCUAAUACCGCAUGUGCCCUUCGGGGGAAAGAUUUAUCGCCUUUAGAGCGGCCCUCGUCUGAUUAGCUAGUUGGUGAGGUAAAUGCUCACCAAGGCGGCGAUCAGUAGCUGGUCUGAGAGCAGACACAGCCGCAUUGGGACUGGGCCCAGACCCAAACGCGAGGGAGCAGGGGGGAGGGGGAAACAAGGGGAGGGGGCCAAAGGCAGCAGCGCCCAGGCCGGGUGAAUGAAGAUGGGGUUGGAAUUGGAAAAUUCUUUCGCCGGGGAGGGAAAGACGGGAACCGGGAAAGAAGCCCCGGCUAAAUUUGGG